rnacentral:lncRNA from 1 species
CGGUGGUUGUGGUAGUUUGGUCAACCUUUAUUGAUGACCACUCUGACUUUUUGUGCUUGUUUUUUCUAAUGCAUUUGUUUGAUAAAUUAAUUAGAUCAUAACAGAUUUAGGUCAGGCUGCUUAGAUAGCUUAAUCCUUAAAAUAAGGAAGUAAUGUUUUUUUGUUUUGUUUUUUUUUUUUUUACUUGUAGGGAGUUGGAAAGGGAGAGCAGUAGGGUUUGAAUCCGAGACCUCACUGUUCACAGAUAGGAGGUUGCACCGCUUGGUGUCCCCUCGAGGACAUAAAGAAUUAAUGUUAAUAACUUGAAAACAAUCACGAAUUCAUAACUUCAUCACCAAAUAAGGGAUUAAUAUCAACAACUUGAAAACAAUCUAGUAAUUUCAAUUUUAGCAAUAAUAAAUGUAUCUUGAAUUGCUCUGAG